rnacentral:rRNA from 1 species
UAGGGAAUCUUCGGCAAUGGACGAAAGUCUGACCGAGCAACGCCGCGUGAGUGAAGAAGGUUUUUUGAUCGUAAAACUCUGUUGCUAGAGAAGAACAAGGACGUUAGUAACUGAACGUCCCCUGACGGUAUCUAACCAGAAUUCCACGGCUAACUACGUGCCAGCAGCCGCGGUAAUACGUAGGUUGCACGCGUUGUCCGGAUUAAUUGGGCGUAAAGCGAGCGCAGGCGGUUUCUUAAGUCUGUUGUGAAAGCCCCCGGCUCAACCGGGGAGGGUCAUUGGAAUCUGGGAGAAUUGAGUGCAGAAGAGGAGAGUGGAAUUCCAUGUGUAGCGGUGAAAUGCGUAGAUAUAUGGAGGUACAACAGUGGCGAAGGCGGCUCUCUGGUCUGUAACUGACGCUGAGGCUGGAAAGCGUGGGGGGCAAACAGG